rnacentral:misc_RNA from 1 species
CAGCCGGGUAAUUCCAGCUCCAAUAGCGUAUAUUAAAGUUGUUGCAGUUAAAAAGCUCGUAGUUGAAUUUCGGGAUCAAGGGAUCGGUCAUGCCUUGGUAUGUACUGGUCUUAUUGGUUCUCACCUUCUAAAGAACCAUGAUGUCAUUCAUUUGAUGUUAUGGGGAAUUAGGACUGUUACCUUGAAAAAAUUAGAGUGUUUAAAGCAAGCUUACGCUUGAAUACAUUAGCAUGGAAUAAUGAAAUAGGACAUCAGAUUCUAUUUUGUUGGUUUCUAGGAUCGAUGUAAUGAUUAAUAGGGAUAGUUGGGGGCAUUAGUAUUCAAUUGUCAGAGGUGAAAUUCUUGGAUUUAUUGAAGACUAACUACUGCGAAAGCAUUUGCCAAGGAUGUUUUCAUUAAUCAAGAACGAAAGUUAGGGGAUCGAAGACGAUCAGAUACCGUCGUAGUCUUAACCAUAAACUAUGCCGACUAGGGAUCGGAUGAUGUUAAUUUUUUAAUGACUCAUUCGGCACCUUACG